UCGAUUUCAACAGCUUAAAAGAUUCUUGUACAUCUAUACGACCAGGCAAUUCUAGUAAAUUGUUCAUCGAAGUACUAUAUAAAAUUAAUAGUUCCAAGGAAGCGCUUAACAUUAAAGAAGAGAAACUAGGUGGUAUAUUGUGGAUUUACAACAAGUGGAAUGCGUUGGAAAAUUUUCCUCUU
rnacentral:misc_RNA from 1 species